AUUGAACGCUGGCGGCAUGCCUUACACAUGCAAGUCGAACGGUAACAGGCCGCAAGGUGCUGACGAGUGGCGAACGGGUGAGUAAUGCAUCGGAACGUGCCCAGUCGUGGGGGAUAACGCAGCGAAAGCUGUGCUAAUACCGCAUAAGAUCUGUGGAUGAAAGCGGGGGACCGAAAGGCCUCGCGCGAUUGGAGCGGCCGAUGUCAGAUUAGGGAGUUGGUGGGGUAAAGGCUCACCAAGCCAACGAUCUGUAGCUGGUCUGAGAGGACGACCAGCCACACUGGGACUGAGACACGGCCCAGACUCCUACGGGAGGCAGCAGUGGGGAAUUUUGGACAAUGGGCGCAAGCCUGAUCCAGCAAUGCCGCGUGCAGGAAGAAGGCCUUCGGGUUGUAAACUGCUUUUGUACGGAGCGAAAAGGCUCUCUCUAAUACAGGGGGCUCAUGACGGUACCGUAAGAAUAAGCACCGGCUAACUACGUGCCAGCAGCCGCCGCAGUAA
rnacentral:rRNA from 1 species